rnacentral:rRNA from 1 species
AACUUUCAACAACGGAUCUCUUGGUUCUGGCAUCGAUGAAGAACGCAGCGAAAUGCGAUAAGUAAUGUGAAUUGCAGAAUUUAGUGAAUCAUCGAAUCUUUGAACGCACAUUGCGCCCACCGGUAUUCCGAUGGGCAUGCACGUUCGAGCGUC